rnacentral:misc_RNA from 1 species
GAUGAAGAACGUAGCGAAAUGCGAUAAGUAAUGUGAAUUGCAGAAUUCAGUGAAUCAUCGAAUCUUUGAACGCACCUUGCGCUCCUUGGUAUUCCAAGGAGCAUGCCUGUUUGAGUAUCAUUAAAUUAUCAACUGUGCCAAUUUGGUUACAGAUUGGAUGUGGGAGAUUCUUUUUGCAGGCCUUUGACUUCUCUUUGAGAAAAAAAAUAAAAGGUCGGCUCUCCUGAAAUGUAUUAGCAGUGCCUUUGUUGGUUCAUUAGGUGUGAUAAAUUGUCUACAUCUUCGCAUGAUAACUUCAUUUGUAAAGGUCAUAUUGCUUCUAAAUUGUCUUUGAUUGGACGCAAAACAUAUAUAAUGUUUGACAAACUUGAUCUCAAAUCAGGCAGGACUACCCGCUGAACUUAAGCAUAUCAAUAAGCGGAGGA